rnacentral:lncRNA from 14 species
UUCUCUCAUACAAGAAAGUGAAAUACAAGAAAUUCUCCUUAAACAUAAGAAAAAAGUUCUUUAUGGAGGGAGGUCUAACACUGGAACUGGAUACCCAGAGAGGUCAUGGAGUCCCAUCCUCAAAGAUAUUCAAAACUCAGCUGGAUAGUGUCCAGGAACAUCCUAGCUGCUGCUGCUCUGAGCAGUGAUAUUAGACUAUACAAUCUGCAGAGGUCUAUGCCAGCCUCAGUGGUUCUCUGAUAUAACUUUUAGCACCAGGGUUAUGUAAAUGUCUUACGUAAAAAUCCAGGAACCAUUAUCUUAAAUUCUCUGCUGCUUUAGUGGCUAACCUUCAUCUUCAAAUUUUAUUUCCAAUAGUGUGCUAAUGAGAAAACCACCAGUGGGAAGCAGUCCUUGCUGUUAAAUCUAUUAAACAUGAUUAAAAGAAAGAGGCUGAAGUGCAAUUAAGGGAACUCUGGUAUUGACCAGCCUGAUGGAGCCAUUCACUGCUUGUGCCUGUGCUAUGCUGUCCUGUGCUGUCUGGACACUAGAUACUGGUGAAAUUCUGAACACCAUCUGUACAAGUUGUUCACAAAAUUGUCUUCAUCUGAUUUCCACUUGCAGACCACAGGAUUCAGGCUUUGAUACUACAAGGAAUAGAGCAGUGUAA